UACGGAGGGUGCGAGCGUUAAUCGGAAUUACUGGGCGUAAAGCGCGCGUAGGCGGUGGGCUAAGUCCCUUGUGAAAGCCCUGGGCUCAACCUGGGAAUGGCAGGGGAAACUGGUCGGCUAGAGUGUGGUAGAGGGUGGCGGAAUUUCCGGUGUAGCAGUGAAAUGCGUAGAGAUCGGAAGGAACACCAGUGGCGAAGGCGGCCAUCUGGACCAACACUGACGCUGAGGUGCGAAAGCGUGGGGAGCAAACAGG
rnacentral:rRNA from 2 species